CAGACUCCGAGAUCCAGCUGACAUGGCAGCACCCGGAGGCUCUGCCUGGGCCGAUAUCCAAGUACGUUGUGGAGGUGCAGGUGGCUGGGGGUGCAGGAGACCCACUGUGGAUAGACGUGGACAGGCCUGAGGAGACAAGCACCAUCAUCCGUGGCCUCAACGCCAGCACGCGCUACCUCUUCCGCAUGCGGGCCAGCAUUCAGGGGCUCGGGGACUGGAGCAACACAGUAGAAGAGUCCACCCUGGGCAACGGGCUGCAGGCUGAGGGCCCAGUCCAAGAGAGCCGGGCAGCUGAAGAGGGCCUGGAUCAGCAGCUGAUCCUGGCGGUGGUGGGCUCCGUGUCUGCCACCUGCCUCACCAUCCUGGCCGCCCUUUUAACCCUGGUGUGCAUCCGCAGAAGCUGCCUGCAUCGGAGACGCACCUUCACCUACCAGUCAGGCUCGGUCAGUGACCCGCCCCGCCCCUGGGUGCAUGCUCGCAGCCCGUGUUUAUGUUUCUACCUGUGUACACACAAGACCUUGUAUACCUUGUGUGUGUGUGUGUGUGUUUAUGUUGCAGGUAUAAGAUUACACUCAACAAUGUUCAAGAGUACAAAAUAUAAUUUUCUUUAUUUCUCUAAAA
rnacentral:sRNA from 1 species